rnacentral:snRNA from 1 species
AAAGGGUAAAAGCUCGUUUG